rnacentral:piRNA from 1 species
UGAAGAAGUGCUUGGCUAAGAGAAU